CCAGCAUUUACAUACACGGGUUCUGAUUACCCCCAGGGCUGGGAGGAGGGGGACGCUGCUGCCUGGGCCUUUGAUGUUCCAGAGAAGAGAUGGUGAGAUGGCGCUGGGAGUCACUCCUACUGUGGGGUGUGUGCUUGGGGGGAGCCCUGUGAUAUCACAUCAGGAGCCCAAGGAUGGCAGAACUUCCAUAGUGGUCUUGCUAAUGUGAGGAUGUAACCAUGCCGUGUCUCUGCUCAACGCCCUUUGACGCAGUACUGCCCUUACAGCCAGCAAGAGGGCCCCCUGCUCCAGGCCCCUCAAAGCAUGAACACGGCACUGGUGCAACAUUUGUUGAAACACCCUUGGAUGCCUAGAUUAUGCGGGAUCUGGUACUGAGUGCUGCUUGGCACAACCCAGAACUUUAAACAUCUGCUCUUGUGAUUAACACUGAUCACACCAGGAUGGUCUUGCUCUAAGAUCGUGAAACAAAAAGCAACUGUGUCUGUAUACCAUCCCAACGUUACUCUACAAGUGACAUCAAUGAAUACUGUGCAAGUGCUCAGGUGAAAUAAAAAGUAAAUGGAUAUACUUGCUAAAUCCUUCCUUGCAGCUAGCAUACACGCAAUGUUAUUUUAAAGAAAAAAUUCAAGAAUAAUGCCAUGGAUUCUUUUUUUUUUUGCAAUGGAUUCUUAUGUAAUAAAAUUUCCUGGU
ensembl:lncRNA